rnacentral:rRNA from 1 species
GACGAACGCUGGCGGCGUGCUUAACACAUGCAAGUCGAACGGAAAGGCCCUGCUUUUGUGGGGUGCUCGAGUGGCGAACGGGUGAGUAACACGUGAGUAACCUGCCCUUGACUUUGGGAUAACUUCAGGAAACUGGGGCUAAUACCGGAUAGGAGCUCCUGCUGCAUGGUGGGGGUUGGAAAGUUUCGGCGGUUGGGGAUGGACUCGCGGCUUAUCAGCUUGUUGGUGGGGUAGUGGCUUACCAAGGCUUUGACGGGUAGCCGGCCUGAGAGGGUGACCGGCCACAUUGGGACUGAGAUACGGCCCAGACUCGUACGGGAGGCAGCAGUGGGGAAUAUUGCACAAUGGGCGGAAGCCUGAUGCAGCAACGCCGCGUGCGGGAUGACGGCCUUCGGGUUGUAAACCGCUUUCGCCUGUGACGAAGCGUGAGUGACGGUAAUGGGGAAAGAAGCACCGGCUAACUACGU